AUGAAACACUCCUACGGGAGGCAGCAGUGGGGAAUUUUGGACAAUGGGGGCAACCCUGAUCCAGCAAUGCCGCGUGAGUGAAGAAGGCCUUCGGGUUGUAAAGCUCUUUCACCGAUGAAGAUAAUGACGGUAGUCGGAGAAGAAGCCCCGGCUAACUUCGUGCCAGCAGCCGCGGUAAUACGAAGGGGGCUAGCGUUGUUCGGAAUUACUGGGCGUAAAGCGCACGUAGGCGGAUAUUUAAGUCAGGGGUGAAAUCCCGCAGCUCAACUGCGGAACUGCCUUUGAUACUGGGUAUCUUGAGUAUGGAAGAGGUAAGUGGAAUUCCGAGUGUAGAGGUGAAAUUCGUAGAUAUUCGGAGGAACACCAGUGGCGAAGGCGGCUUACUGGUCCAUUACUGACGCUGGGGUGCGAAAGCGUGGGGAGCAAACAGGAUUAGAAACCCUUGUAGUCCGAAGUUC
rnacentral:rRNA from 1 species